GAAGUACUCCCUCCGUCUCAAAACUCUUGUAGAUAUGAAAGUAUCUAGUCAUAUUUUAGUAUUUAAAUGCAUUUAUUUCUAGAUAAAUUUAAGACAAGAAUUUUGGGACGGAGGGGGUAUAUG
rnacentral:pre_miRNA from 2 species